UUCAUUGAUGCGGGUCAAUCUUUGCCCUCCCUCCAGACCUGUCUCGGCCGACAUUGAUCCCGGUCAAUAUUUUCUCCUGCCCGAUUGGUUAACUUAACCCCAUCGCAACAGGGCAAAUUCAGGAGACGCGUAAUGUUUUUCGACAACGUGGUCAUUGCCGGGGUGCUGACCGUCAGCCUCAUGUUCGUGUUUUUCGCAGGGUUUGGAUUUUUUAUCUGGAAAGACUCACACAAGCGGAAAUAACCGCUGAUUUUUCUGGAUUGAGUGGGCACGCAAGGCAUUUUGGGCAACUUCGGUUGCCCUUU
rnacentral:misc_RNA from 1 species